UACGUAGGGGGCGAGCGUUGUCCGGAAUGACUGGGCGUAAAGGGCGUGUAGGCGGCCGAUUAAGUCUGGAGUGAAAGUCCUGCAGUUAAAGUGGGAAUUGCUUUGGAUACUGGUUGGCUUGAGUGCAGAAGAGGUAAGCGGAAUUCCCAGUGUAGCGGUGAAAUGCGUAGAGAUUGGGAGGAACACCAGUGGCGAAGGCGGCUUACUGGGCUGUAACUGACGCUGAGGCGCGAAAGCGUGGGGAG
rnacentral:rRNA from 1 species